UGAGUAACACGUGGGCAAUCUGCCCUGCACUCUGGGACAAGCCCUGGAAACGGGGUCUAAUACCGGAUAACACCCCCUCUCGCAUGGGAGGGGGUUGAAAGCUCCGGCGGUGCAGGAUGAGCCCGCGGCCUAUCAGCUUGUUGGUGAGGUAGAAGCUCACCAAGGCGACGACGGGUAGCCGGCCUGAGAGGGCGACCGGCCACACUGGGACUGAGACACGGCCCAGACUCCUACGGGAGGCAGCAGUGGGGAAUAUUGCACAAUGGGCGAAAGCCUGAUGCAGCGACGCCGCGUGAGGGAUGACGGCCUUCGGGUUGUAAACCUCUUUCAGCAGGGAAGAAGCGAAAGUGACGGUACCUGCAAAAGAAGCGCCGGCUAACUACGUGCCAGCAGCCGCGGUAAUACGUAGGGCGCAAGCGUUGUCCGGAAUUAUUGGGCGUAAAGAGCUCGUAGGCGGCUUGUCACGUCGGUUGUGAAAGCCCGGGGCUUAACCCCGGGUCUGCAGUCGAUACGGGCAGGCUAGAGUGUGGUAGGGGAGAUCGGAAUUCCUGGUGUAGCGGUGAAAUGCGCAGAUAUCAGGAGGAACACCGGUGGCGAAGGCGGAUCUCUGGGCCAUUACUGACGCUGAGGAGCGAA
rnacentral:rRNA from 1 species